GUGGGGAAUAUUGGACAAUGGGCGCAAGCCUGAUCCAGCCAUGCCGCGUGAGUGAUGAAGGCCUUAGGGUUGUAAAGCUCUUUCAGUGGGGACGAUAAUGACGGUACCCACAGAAGAAGCCCCGGCUAACUUCGUGCCAGCAGCCGCGGUAAUACGAAGGGGGCUAGCGUUGUUCGGAUUUACUGGGCGUAAAGCGCACGUAGGCGGAUCGUUAAGUCGGGGGUGAAAUCCUGGAGCUCAACUCCAGAACUGCCUUCGAUACUGGCGAUCUGGAGUCCGGAAGAAGUGAGUGGAACUCCGAGUGUAGAGGUAGAAUUCGUAGAUAUUAGGAAGAACACCAGUGGCGAAGGCGGCUCACUGGUCCGGUACUGACGCUGGGGUGCGAAAGCGUGGGGAGCAAACAGGAUUAGAUACCCUAGUAGUCC
rnacentral:rRNA from 1 species